rnacentral:rRNA from 1 species
GAUGAACGCUGGCGGCGUGCCUAAUACAUGCAAGUCGAGCGAACAGACGAGGAGCUUGCUCCUACGACGUUAGCGGCGGACGGGUGCGUAACACGUAGGUAACCUAACUCUAAGACUGGGAUAACUUCGGGAAACCGGAGCUAAUACCGGAUAAUAUUUCGAACCGCAUGGUUCCAUAGUGAAAGAAGGCAUUGCUAUCACUUAUAGAUUGCCCUGCGCCGUAUUAGCUAGUUGGUAAGGUAACGGCUUACCAAGGCAACGAUACGUAGCCGACCUGAGAGGGUGAUCGGCCACACUGGAACUGAGACACGGUCCAGACUCCUACGGGAGGCAGCAGUAGGGAAUCUUCCGCAAUGGGCGAAAGCCUGACGGAGCAACGCCGCGUGAGUGAUGAAGGUCUUCGGAUCGUAAAACUCUGUUAUUAGGGAAGAACAAACGUGUAAGUAACUGUGCACGUCUUGACGGUACCUAAUCAGAAAGCCACGGCUAACUACGUG